AUUGAACGCUGGCGGCAGGCCUAACACAUGCAAGUCGAGCGAGCGGCGGACGGGUGAGUAAUGUAUGGGGAUCUGCCUGAUGGAGGGGGAUAACUACUGGAUACGGUAGCUAAUACCUCAUACCAUCAGAUGAACCCAUAUGGGAUUAGCUUGUAGGUGAGGUAACGGCUCACCUAGGCGACGAGCCCUAGCUGGUCAGAGGGGAUGAUCAGCCACACUGGGACUGAGACACGGCCCAGAAUCCUACAGGAGACAGCAGUGGGGGGUAUUGCACAAUGGGCGCAAGCCUGAUGCAGACAUGCCGCGUGUAUGAAGAAGGCCUUCGGGUUGUAAAGUACUUUCAGUAGGGAGGAGUUACCGACAGAAGAAGCACCGGGUAACUCCGUGCCAGCAGCCGCGGUGAUUC
rnacentral:rRNA from 1 species